GGGGAAUAUUGCACAAUGGGCGAAAGCCUGAUGCAGCGACGCCGCGUGAGGGAUGACGGCCUUCGGGUUGUAAACCUCUUUCACCAGGGACGAAGCGAAAGUGACGGUACCUGGAGAAGAAGCACCGGCCAACUAC
rnacentral:rRNA from 1 species